rnacentral:lncRNA from 1 species
UAUAAAGCAAUUCUCACUAAAUUAUUUUUUGUAUUGGAAAACAUAAUUUUUUAUAAAUCAUGCAUGAGAUUUUAUUCUUAAAACAUCAGUCUUAUUAUUUUUAAAUAAACUGUUUACAAAAUGUUUACAUUUUUAUUUGUUUUUUCAUUUUAAUGUUUAAUGUAGCAAGUAUUGGUGGAUUAGAGAAGCUUUUAUUUCCUUAGACUUCUUAUGUUUUAGAAAGGAGGGUUAAGUUAGAUAUAUUUCUCAAUAUGAAACCUGAAGAUGAUGUAUAAUAGAUCUAUUUGAAGUGCUUGUUAAAAUAUAGAUAUCAAGACCUUUCCAAGACUCACCAAGUUAGACUCCGUGAGAGAUGCCUUUCAUAGAAGGAACCUUGGGGAUUUUUCAAGUUCCAUUGAAAUUGGAGUGUUAUCUAUUAGAUGGCCUCUGUUGAUUUUGCUUCACUUUUGCUUUGCUCCAGGUGGGUAAACACCAAAAUCCCUGAACCACCAGCUAUUGCAAGGUAAACCUGGUGUUUGAAUUACCUAGGCUUCAAGUCCCUUUUUAUAUAUCUACAUUUUAGGAUUGGCAGAGAAAGUAGAAGAUGCCCAACUAAAUUUGAAUUUCAGAUAGAAAAUAAUUUCAUAGUAUAAGUAUGUUACAUGCUACACUUAGGACAUGUAUAUGUUAAAGAAUUAAAUAAUAUAUUCAUCAUUCAUCAUUUAUCAAAAUAUUGGAUCAACAUAUUUAUACUAAAAAUUAUUCAUUGUUUAUCUGAAAUUUAAAUGUAACUGAUUUGCCUGCUUUCUGUUUGUAUGUUUUCUUUUGAUAAAUCUACCAGGUGCAUCACAUUUUAUACAGUCUACCAUUGCUUCCAGAUGGUAAUAGCCAUAAAAAGAUUAAGUGAGACAAUAUGGGCAUGUCUAACCUUCAGGAUUGAUUAAUUAUAUGAGCUUAGGUGGAGUCAGAGGGAGAAAUGACAAAACCUGGACACUCUUGAAAUCACAAUUAAACGUUUAUCCACAAUCUAACCCUCUUUUUUUCUUUUCUUUUCUUUUUUUUUUUUUUUAAUUUAUUUUUGUUGCUGUUGUUGAGAUGGAGUUUCACUCUUUCUGCCCAGGCUGGAGUGCAGUGGCGCGAUCUUGGCUCACUGCAGCCUCAGCCUCCCAGUUUCAAGCAAUUCUCCUGCCUCAGCCUCCUGAGUAGCUGGGAUUACAGGCGCCUGCCACCAUGCCUGGCUAAUUUUUGUUUUUUUUUUUUUUUGGAGACCAGGUUUCACCAUGUUGUCCGGGUUGGUCUAAAACUCCUGACCUUAGAAGGUCCACGCCCACUGGCCUCCCAAAGAGCUAGGAUUACAGGCAUGAGCCACUGUGCCCGGCCAAUCUAACACUCUUAUAGAAUAAAUCUCUCUAAACUUCCCUUAGAAUUUCUUUCAAAAACGGUCUUUGUGAAACUCAUGUGGCUGUGCUUUCAGUUACUGUUUAUUUCAUUUCAACGCAGCUUUUCUCACUGUAAAUUCAUCACCACAUUGGAAGCAACGUCAUUCCCAAAGCAACUGGUUGUAGAGUUUGCAGUUUUUAUGUUUGUCGAAGCCUCUGUUCUAUUAUGUGAAAAUUCAGCUCUGCUUUUAACUGCUCUUACAUGUAUGGUUCUAAGAAUGUAAACAUUCUUUAGCUUCUGCCUCCUUAUUUUGUCUGUCUCUCCAGAAGGUCUAUAUGACCUCUUCAUAGGCUGCUAUAUUUACUGGCUUCUUACCCAUUUCUACCAACGCUGUUACCUCUCCUCUUCUAAAAAUACAAACUUCCCUCUGAGCAAUAUUCUCCAUUCAAUCAUCUUUUUAACCUUUUUAAAUUCUAGUCCUUUCUGAUUCUACUUGUUGCAGAUACCAAGUCUGUUUCUUUUCUUCUUCUUCUUCUUUUUUUCCUAAAGAAAAAUGAUUAUGUUUUUAAGUGAACGAUCUGGAAUAAGAUAA